UACGUCGGUGGUGGGGGCGGUCUUUCCCAAAGAACCCUGGGGAGAAAGAACCCAGACCAAGCCCCACCUUUCCUCCCGCCUCGCGGCGCAGCUCACCCGGGCGGGUGAACAUCACCAACUCAGCUGGAUUUCGCCCCGGUUGCCUGCCCUACAGUCGGCGCAACACAACCGCAGACAUGCAACGGCCCUCGCCGGGACUGGCAUCCCAAUGCGAGGGCCUGACCACCAAGGAAGAAAGCCCCUUCCCG
rnacentral:ncRNA from 1 species